UCGAGGACCGCCGACCGGGACCGACUUCUCCGAGGAACUCCGAGCGGUGCGAGCCGUACCCCGGAGCCGCGAGUAGCGCGCCGCACGCCGAGUCUCCGGCCCCGCCCCCUGGCGGCGCCCCGGCGGCCAAUGAGGAGCCGAAGCGGCAAGAGCGACGGCCCCGCGGGCCCGUUGACGUGAGCCAGGGGUCCGCGCUCCGCCGGAAAGCAGAUCCCCUCGCCCCCCCAAAAACUGGGUUCCGGGUUUUCCUCGUCUCUUCCGUUUCCGUUUCCGGGGGAGGGACUGGAGAGUGAGGUCGGUGUCUGGAGGCUUAGGGUCCCGUUCCCGUUGGCGUGAUUAUUUUGUGGCAAUCUUAAUGUUGUUGUUAGCCUAGCCACCGUGGGGGGAGAAGAUAAUGAAAAUGGAUUAAAAAACAGCAUACACUUUAACUUAUUUGAUGCAAAAGGAUAUUCUCUUUAAAACAAUUUAUUUAAUUUUAUUUUUUGCGCAUUGAUGUGAGGAUGGCAGAUCUCCUGGAACUGGAGUUACAGACAGUUGUGAGUGUCCAUGUGAGUGCUGGGAAUUGGAACAACCAUUGCUCUUAACCGCUGAGCUGUCUUUCCAGCCCCGACGCAAAGGGAUCUCAAAGGUUGCAGGAUGGAGGAGCCGGAGCCUGAAUAUGAAGAUAGGAUCCUACAAGAGACAAGUCGGCUCCUGGCAGCAACCCCAUUUCCUCCAGAGAAGAUGAAUGGGAACAGAAGAACUUCUACCCGUAACUCGCUUCAUAAGUGAAAGCACCGAGCAAAAAACUCCUUCACCUCAACUGCUGCAAAGACCUCUUGAGACCAUGGAUGAUGGGAUAAUUGCAUCGACUGCCUCAUAUUGCCAAGGGCAAGCAGGCUGGUCUUCCUACAAACACCUAGUACACAGGAGCUUCUGAAGCCUGGCAGGCUCUGUGCUGCCAACCAUGGAUGUUGCCCUGAAGCCUCUGCCCUCAACAACUAUGGAGGACCCUGGGAGUGGCUGUCUAGGAAGCCAAUCGACUGAAAUGCUGACUCAGAUGCCAACACUAAGAUGAUGUGUACUUGAGCCCACAGCCUCUUCCAUAACCAGGUGCUGCUGCCGUACAGCGACUGACACCUCCCACACGCGUGCUGCCGUACAGCGGCCGACACCUUCCAUACGUGUGCUGCCGUACAGCGACCGACACCUCCGACACGCGUGUUGCUGUACAGUGGCCGACAUUUUCCACACGCGUGCUGCCGUACAGUGAUGGACACUUUUUACAUGCGUGCUGUCGUACAGUGAUGGACACCUUCCACACGCGUGCUGCUGCACAGCGACCGACACCUCCGACACGCGUGUUGCUGUACAGACACCAUCCUUCAUGCACUAGAAACCUCUUCUGUUUAGUAUGUUAUAAAGAGUUGACUUCUCCAGUUUCCACUGCUUUAUAAUUUUCCAGUUUACUCAACAUCAGUGAAAUGAGUAGAAACAGGACUGAAAUGUGCCUGUGAUAGCUGCAUAUCAUAUCAUAUCAUAUCAUAUUGUAAAAAUCAAUCAAUCAUGUUUCAGCUUUUAGUUUUUCCUCAAAUUUUGGCAAUGAUGUGAAUAAUCGCUGAGGUUCUAGUUUUCCAUUUUGUAGACCAUCAGAUCCAAUCAAGGAUAGUCUAACAUGAGGCCCCCUGGACAGUCAGACACACAGACAGACGACUCUUCCAAAAGCCGUGGUGGUUUACGUGCGAAAAAAUUGAGAGGCGUUUUCCUGGUUAAUUUAUCAAAUUCUACCAUAAAUAGAGAUAAAACAACUUUGUCAAUUAAGAGAACACUUGCUUUCAAUAAAGGCAGUAUAUUUUUCUUUCACAAUAAUACAUAGAAUGUCUACAUGUACAAGGGUGUGUGUAACUCACGGUUUGGAGAUGGACAGCAGGUGAAGACACAACACUGAUUUUCAAAAUCCCAAUACAUUCCCUUCUUUUUCAAACAAAGCCUGAGACCCAGAAGAGAUUAUAAGAAAGUCUUUCCCAACCAAAUCACAACAAAAGAACUGAACCAAUAAUGCAUUUUUGUAGCCUCUUAGCAGUCACCAAAUGCUACUUACAUACAUUCAACAUCGAGCUUACUGGCGUGAUUUCAAAGUUUUAUAAAAACGAGAAACUUUGCAGAUAAUCAGAAGAUACACAAAUUGCAUUAAACACAAAGGCAGUGUGGUCCUUGUGGAGAAAUCAGGUCAGUACCCUCUGGUAGAAAUGUUCUAUAAAAAUGUGUCACAUUGAAGCAGCAGUGUUCUCAGCCAAUUAUCUGUCCUGAUGUAUGUCCUCGGAGCAUACCAUCUCAGGACUUUAGGCUUCUUUAUCCACUAUCUGACUGAAUUUAGGUACAUCUGGGAAGCAGCUGAAAGGGAUUCUCCGAUAGCCUGACGUCACAGAAAGUGGACCGAGAAAUCCCCCUCUUUACCUGAAGACGCACGGUUCCUACUUCAGUCAUCAUCAGCUCACAAAGGAAAAGAAGGAAACAGUUAAAACCUCACCUCACAUACACUCUCACACAAACCAAACAAAGCACCCUUCCCCCCACGAAACCCCAGCACCAAAGUGUCAAUCAUUCCCAGGAAAUAGAACAUGCCCCUUGGAGUCUCUGAUUUGUUAGUUCAAACUUUAAGGGCAGAAAUGUCCCUAAGUCCGAGUGGGAAGAGGGAAGACAUGCCGAUGACUGCAGAGCCAUUGAGAAAGUGCAUUAUUAGUUAUACAGUCAACUCAGAGCCCCACCCUCCGGUGGAGGUGCUCACAAGUUGACUAAAUGCCUCAAUAACUACACAUUAUGAUCUUGGGAUCAAGGGAAGGGGGCAGCUAGUCUCAUCUAAUGAAACACUGCAGUGGUCUACCACCUUCCCCAUGCUUCUCAAGACUAUAAAAUUGCACAGACUCAGAGAAGUCCAAAGUCAUAGCAGAAUCUCUGAGGCACUCCUGGUUAAGAGAGAAAAAAAAAUAUGAUCCAGUUAUCUUCAUAGUUCCAUAGAUUAUGUGAACAAACCCGUUUUGUUUUAAAACAAAAGCCCAAGGAUCACUUCAUAGGGAUCAUACACCAUUUCCUCUAUCACCUCCUCAGUCCCGAUCAGCCUACGACAGAUUGCACGUUACCCAAGGAGAAAGGAAGGCGUGGAAAAGGCAAACAUUUUACACAGCUUCACAAACACAUUUACAAGGAAUAG